ACAUCUUUAUGCACUUCAAAUCUGUUUGAAAUCCAAUAACAGAAAAGACAAAGUAUUUUGAUUGACACAUAUUAAGAAUUGUCACAGGAUCCUGGCUUUUCAUUUUUGGACCAUACAAAACACUCCGAUUCCAAGCCCAUUUCCAAAGGAAUGACCUGAGGAUAUUCAUACCCUUUCCCUCUUCAGUAUGCAGGUGCUGCUGGUUAGCAUAUUUAGGGCGCGUAUUAUUCCACUUAGAGAAGGUCUGACUCUUUCUUUGACAAUAAUAUCCAACGACAUCCACCGUACAGGAGCAGAAAUGAAGUCAGUCUUCACUGAAAUUCCAUGCCGUAAUCGUCCCGUUCCUCGGAAGCCAAAGAAUUCAGACGGCAAAGCAGAUGAGUGAUUUGUUUCGGAUAUACUCUCAACUGCCACUACUGUG